rnacentral:lncRNA from 1 species
GUCUACUGCACCAGCUGCCAUCACCUUCUCAACCAGAGCCUUUCUGUUCCUUGGUGACAAACCUCCUGGUCAGAUCUGUCCCACGCCUCAGGGGCAGCCCUCAGAGUUGCAUCAUGAGGUUAUUACUGAUUUCUUCAAAUCUCAUUCAUUUUCCAACAAUUCAAAGCCAUACAGGCACCCUCCCAGUCCCUGUGCCAGUGCUGGUCUCCAGGCUGAGCCCAGGAGGAGACCAUAGCAGGGAAAUUCCAGGAGUGAGGGAAAAACAUUGCAUUAGUGUUGCUAUGGAGACAAAAAUUAGCACAAUAACUAUUGUGUUCUGUUCCAAAGCUUCCCAGUCUUCAGUUUUAACUCCUUCCCCUGCUCUACCACUGUUUCAGAUCUGUCCCAGCAACAUUCCAGGAGACCUGACAAAUUUCUGGGCCAGGAACUGGAAAGGGAAUGGCAGAACACAUAAGAGCCUGAAGUCUGGGCACAGACCAGAAGAGAAGCAGAAAAAGGUUAUUGGCAGUACCUGGUGUUGCUAAGGCUGAUUUAAUUCCUAUUCCCAGAGGCAGCUUUUCCAAGGUGAUUCCUGACACAGGAGAUGGUGAGUUGCUUUUCACCCUCACACACAGAGACUUUAUACAUGUGGUUGUGAUGUACCUGCUUUAGUGAUCAAAUCAACUUGGUUGGAUCUUCCAUAGGGAUUCUGCAAAGCAGGUUGAAUACAGGGUUUUGCUGACCUCUGCCAGAAUGACCUUUCCUUAAAGUAGUAGAGGAGAGAAAAGUCUGCACUGCAAAAAGCCUCACGUGGGAGCAGGGAAAUGCAGCCAAGGGAGGGUUGACCUGUGGGGUUAUUGAAGGCUUAAUGGGGCAAUCUGAGCACACUUAGUGCAGUGGAAAGCUGCAGACCAGCCAGGAAAAGAUGUCAAAGAGGACAAUCAGUUGAGAAAAGGAGAGCAGUGGCUGACAGAAGGAUGUCUGAAUAAAUGAAGGAUGUCCAGCCCAGUGUGAGAAAUUCAGGCACUGCAGGAGCAGCUUAAUCUGCAGUCCUAGAUCUGAGCGACCUUCUCCACAGCCUUGGACAUUUAAACACUCAACAUCUACUUUAACUGAGGGGAAAAAAACAAUGGUGCCAAUAUAAUGCUUCAUUGCACAGAUAUAUUUUAAAGACUUAACCUUUGCAAGACAUUUUGAAGAUGGAAAGCCCAGCAGCACAAUGAUAUUUUUGUGAGAAGACUUUUCUCAGUUUUUGCAUUAGCCACUGUAUGCUUGGUUUUAUUUCUGGUUUUGCCUUGUGCAGUUUUACCAAGUGACUUUUUCCAUAGCCUACAUGUAGAUUUUUAAUAGCAAAGAUGAAAUCUCAAAAUCCUUGUUUUGAGUAGUCAUUCAAAUUCAACAGCUUAACAUUGAUAACAUUUCAGAAAAGACAAUUGGUUUGAAUACAAAAAUGUUUAAAAAU